rfam:Ictidomys tridecemlineatus contig079293, whole genome shotgun sequence.
UAUGGUACACCACUCCGAACACGCCCUGUCUCAUCUGAUCUUGGAAGCUAAGUGGGGUAGAGCCUGAUUAGUACUUGGAUGGGAAAAAUAAAAAGGUUGGACCAAAU